AUCAACUUUCGAUGGUAGGAUAGAGGCCUAUCAUGGUUUUAAUGGGUAACAGAAAAUUAGAGUUCGAUUCUGGAGAGGGAGCCUAAGAAACAGCUACCACAUUCACGAAAGGCAGCAGGCGCACAAAUUACCCAAUCCCGAUACGGGGAGGUAGUGACAAUAAAUAACAAUAUAGGGCUCUUAUGGGUCUUGUAAUUGGAAUAAGUAUCCCUUAAUGAGGAACAAUUGGAGGGCAAGUCUGGUGCUAGCAGCUGUGGUAAUUCCAGCUCCAAUAGCAUAUAUUAAAGUUGUUGCAGUUAAAAAGCUCGUAGUUGAAUUUUGGGGUUCUACUAUUGGUCAGGCAAUUGUCUGUAUUAGCGUGUAGAAUUUCUACCUUCUGGUGAACCAUUAUGUUAUUAAUUUAGCGUAGUGGAAAACCAGGACCUUUACCUUGAAAAAAUUAGAGUGUUCAAAGCAGGCUUACGUCUGAAUACAUUAGCAUAGAAUAAUAAAAUAGGACGGUGGUCCUGUUUUGUUGGUUUCUGGAUCACUAUAAUGAUUAAUAGGGAUAGUUGGGGGCAUUAGUAUUCAAUUGUCAGAGGUGAAAUUCUUGGAUUUAUUGAAGACUAACUUCUGCGAAAGCAUUUGCCAAGGAUGUUUUUAUUAAUCAAGAAUGAAAGUUAGGGGAUUGAAGACGAUCAGAUACCGUCGUAGUCUUAACCAUAAACUAUACUGACUAGGGAUCAGAUGAUAUUAAUUUUUCUUAACUCAUUCGACGCCUUACGGGAAACCAAAGUGUUUGGGUUC
rnacentral:rRNA from 1 species